GAUGAACGCUGGCGGCGUGCCUAAUACAUGCAAGUCGAGCGAACGGACGAGAAGCUUGCUUCUCUGAUGUUAGCGGCGGACGGGUGAGUAACACGUGGAUAACCUACCUAUAAGACUGGGAUAACUUCGGGAAACCGGAGCUAAUACCGGAUAAUAUUUUGAACCGCAUGGUUCAAAAGUGAAAGACGGUCUUGCUGUCACUUAUAGAUGGAUCCGCGCUGCAUUAGCUAGUUGGUAAGGUAACGGCUUACCAAGGCAACGAUGCAUAGCCGACCUGAGAGGGUGAUCGGCCACACUGGAACUGAGACACAGUCCAGACUCCUACGGGAGGCAGCAGUAGGGAAUCUUCCGCAAUGGGCGAAAGCCUGACGGAGCAACGCCGCGUGAGUGAUGAAGGUCUUCGGAUCGUAAAACUCUGUUAUUAGGGAAGAACAUAUGUGUAAGUAACUGUGCACAUCUUGACGGUACCUAAUCAGAAAGCCACGGCUAACUACGUGCCAGCAGCCGCGGUAAUACGUAGGUGGCAAGCGUUAUCCGGAAUUAUUGGGCGUAAAGCGCGCGUAGGCGGUUUUUUAAGUCUGAUGUGAAAGCCUACGGCUCAACCGUGGAGGGUCAUUGGAAACUGGAAAACUUGAGUGCAGAAGAGGAAAGUGGAAUUCCAUGUGUAGCGGUGAAAUGCGCAGAGAUAUGGAGGAACACCAGUGGCGAAGGCGACUUUCUGGUCUGUAACUGACGCUGAUGUGCGAAAGCGUGGGGAUCAAACAGGAUUAGAUACCCUGGUAGUCCACGCCGUAAACGAUGAGUGCUAAGUGUUAGGGGGUUUCCGCCCCUUAGUGCUGCAGCUAACGCAUUAAGCACUCCGCCUGGGGAGUACGACCGCAAGGUUGAAACUCAAAGGAAUUGACGGGGACCCGCACAAGCGGUGGAGCAUGUGGUUUAAUUCGAAGCAACGCGAAGAACCUUACCAAAUCUUGACAUCCUUUGACAACUCUAGAGAUAGAGCUUUCCCCUUCGGGGGACAAAGUGACAGGUGGUGCAUGGUUGUCGUCAGCUCGUGUCGUGAGAUGUUGGGUUAAGUCCCGCAACGAGCGCAACCCUUAAGCUUAGUUGCCAUCAUUAAGUUGGGCACUCUAAGUUGACUGCCGGUGACAAACCGGAGGAAGGUGGGGAUGACGUCAAAUCAUCAUGCCCCUUAUGAUUUGGGCUACACACGUGCUACAAUGGACAAUACAAAGGGCAGCGAAACCGCGAGGUCAAGCAAAUCCCAUAAAGUUGUUCUCAGUUCGGAUUGUAGUCUGCAACUCGACUACAUGAAGCUGGAAUCGCUAGUAAUCGUAGAUCAGCAUGCUACGGUGAAUACGUUCCCGGGUCU
rnacentral:rRNA from 1 species